rnacentral:rRNA from 1 species
GACGAACGCUGGCGGCGUGCUUAACACAUGCAAGUCGAACGGUAAGGCCCUUCGGGGUACACGAGUGGCGAACGGGUGAGUAACACGUGGUGAUCUGCCCUGCACUUCGGGAUAAGCUUGGGAAACUGGGUCUAAUACCGGAUAGGACCACGGUCUGCAUGGAUUGUGGUGGAAAGCUUUUGCGGUGUGGGAUGGGCCCGCGGCCUAUCAGCUUGUUGGUGGGGUGAUGGCCUACCAAGGCGACGACGGGUAGCCGGCCUGAGAGGGUGUCCGGCCACACUGGGACUGAGAUACGGGCCCAGACUCCUACGGGAGGCAGCAGUGGGGAAUAUUGCACAAUGGGCGCAAGCCUGAUGCAGCGACGCCGCGUGGGGGAUGACGGCCUUC